rnacentral:rRNA from 1 species
AACGAACGCUGGCGGCAUGCCUAACACAUGCAAGUCGAACGAGACCUUCGGGUCUAGUGGCGCACGGGUGCGUAACGCGUGGGAACCUGCCCUUAGGUUCGGAAUAACUCCCCGAAAGGGGUGCUAAUACCGGAUAAUAUCUUCGGACCAACGAUUUAUCGCCUUUGGAUGGGCCCGCGUUGUAUUAGCUAGCUGGUAGGGUAAAAGCCUACCAAGGCGACGAUCCAUAGCUGGUCUGAGAGGAUGAUCAGCCACACUGGGACUGAGACACGGCCCAGACUCCUACGGAAGGCAGCAGUGGGGACUAUUGGACAAUGGGCGAAAGCCUGAUCCAGCAAGGCCGCGUGAGUGAUGAAGGCCUUAGGGUUGUAAAGCUCUUUUACCCGGGAUGAUAAUGACAGUACCGGGAGAAUAAGCUCCGGCUAACUCCGUG